GACGAACGCUGGCGGCGUGCUUAACACAUGCAAGUCGAACGGAAAGGCCUUUUCGGAGGUACUCGAGUGGCGAACGGGUGAGUAACACGUGGGUGAUCUGCCCUGCACUCUGGGAUAAGCCUGGGAAACUGGGUCUAAUACCGGAUAGGACCGCACUUUAGUGUGUGUGGUGGAAAGUUUUUUCGGUGUAGGAUGAGCCCGCGGCCUAUCAGCUUGUUGGUGGGGUAAUGGCCUACCAAGGCGGCGACGGGUAGCCGGACUGAGAGGUUGGUCGGCCACAUUGGGACUGAGAUACGGCCCAGACUCCUACGGGAGGCAGCAGUGGGGAAUAUUGCACAAUGGGCGCAAGCCUGAUGCAGCGACGCCGCGUGGGGGAUGACAGCCUUCGGGUUGUAAACUCCUUUCGCCAGGGACGAAGCGUUUUGUGACGGUACCUGGAGAAGAAGCACCGGCUAACUACGUG
rnacentral:rRNA from 1 species